UCCUGGUUAACCCAGGCAGUCUCAUUAGAGUCCCCAGCAUUACCUGUUGGCAACUAAUGAUAAGGGUUGCGCUCGUUGCGGGACUUAACCCAACACCUCACGGCACGAGCUGACGACAGCCAUGCAGCACCUGUGCAGAAGCCCCGAAGGGAAUGCCUAUCUCUAGACACGUCCUCUGCAUGUCAAGUCUGGGUAAGGUUCUUCGCGUUGCAUCGAAUUAAACCACAUGCUCCACUGCUUGUGCGGGUCCCCGUCAAUUCUUUUGGGUUUCACCCUUGCGAGUGUACUCCCCAGGCGGUAUACUUAACGCGUUAGCUACGGCACAGUCGGGGUUGAGACCAACUACACCAAGUAUACAUCGUUUACGGCAAGGACUAC
rnacentral:misc_RNA from 1 species